rnacentral:rRNA from 1 species
UACGGGGGGGGGCAAGCGUUGUUCGGAAUUACUGGGCGUAAAGCGCGUGUAGGCGGUUAUGCAAGUCGGGUGUGAAAAGCCCAGGGGCUCAACCCCCUGGAAGUGCAUUUCGAUACUGCGUAGCUAGAGUACUGGAGAGGAUGGUGGAACUCUGGGUGUAGAGGUGAAAUUGUAGAUAUCAGAAGAACACCCGGUGGCGAAAGGCGGCCAUCUGGACAGAUACUGACGCUGAGACGCGAAACGUGGGGAGCAAACAGGAUAAGAACCUGUAGUCAGAACCAUGUACUU